rnacentral:lncRNA from 1 species
UAGAUACUGUAAGUUCCUAUUGAAGCAAGUAACUCCUAGCGACGUAGACCCCCAAGCUCUUGUCCUAUUGCCAUUGACUCAAUCUUCAGGUCAAAAUAGAAUUUCAAUCGAAACUCCACCUCCCGAGUUCACAUGAAAAAUAAAAGAUAAGGAUUAGAAAAGAUUAAAUAAUUUAAUAAGGUAAGAAUGAAAAUCAGAGAAUUAUUAAACAAGAGUUACUAGGAUCAGAUCACGCUAUUUGUUUUUUCUUAUGGACUCAGCCACUUGAAUAAAGAGAGAACACAGAAUCAUGACAUACAUUUCAAUCAUGUGAAUGUUUAUACCCCAUAUAAUUUAGCUAAACCCAAUCUCAAAUGGAAAACACCCCCUGAUAUUAAUAUGCAUGCAAUAGCCCAACCUUUCGGGACUCUCAGAGAAGUAUAUUAUGUACAAAACUCCAUCACAAUAAUUAAUACACACAAAGUAGGUCAAAAAGAAUAAAAUGAGAUGCGAUAAAUAAAUAAAAUGACUACUAGCAGUCAGAUUACAUGGUCCUCACGCUUACCAAUUUACGGGCACAUGAUGUAUCUACUAGUACAAUAAUGUUUUCCAUGCAUGUAAGAAAUAAUUGUUUUAAAAAGGGAAAGCUGGAAAGCUAUGUGCACAAAAAUCUCCCUAUCUAAGCAAAGAAAUUGACUAUGUAGAUGCCAUAUUUUGGGCAUAAGCAAAGUUCAAUUUGUAUGUUGUGAAUACAAAUCCAUUCACCAUUUUUGAACCACAUAAAAUAUGAAAUUGAUUGUAAAGAAAGGGGUUUGGAAAGCCAUGACAUUAGAAUUCUAGUUACCAAAUUCACGGGUAGAUUACCACAUCAGUAAGAACUCAUUAUCGAAACCGAACUAAGGCAAACAACAUUUCUUAAAGUUGCCAGCAAAAUGGAUCAAAGGACAGGGGGUAAGUACGGGUUCACAUAUUCAAACUCAAGAUUUAUUUCAUCUGAGACUAAACUUGAAAUUAGUCACAAAUGCUAGUCAAUCUAAAUUCACCUAAGCACCCUUAAAACUAAAAAUUUUAAACCCAAUAGUUGGAAAAGAUUCUUAACGUUGAAUCGUCAGAGAUGACGUUCGGUGGGACACAUGAUAUCUUACAUGGAUUACCAAAAUACAAACAAUAGAAGAGGAUAAAAACUAAUAGUGAGCUAAAACUCUAUAAUGGAAGGAAGAAAAGAUCAGCCAGUGGUCAUUGAAGUAAUGCGUCAAAGUAUAAUCAUUUUCAUAACUAUGAAAUCAUUUGUAAGUGCAAACAAGCAUAACAGAUAAAGGACCGGAUUAAUAUUUAUUUUUAGGUUUGAAAUUAGGACAGAAUAACCAACGGCAGCACUUGAAAUAAACUAAUUGAACUACAUUUGUCUUUAAAAAUCCAAUUCAAGAGGAGAUUUUUCGAAAUACUGAAAUGAAAUAACCACGUCAUUGACACAUUAUAAAAUAUAUAGUCACAAAUCAGAUAAUUUUAUGGAAUCAAAAAUUUAUACUCAGUUACCAAAAUUCAAGAAAACACCAUGGCUAACAAACUUGAUAAAAUUCGCGUAAAGAUUUAUUUUCUAGAAUCAAUGGAAACAACUUAAAUUUUGGUCUAAAUUAAACCAACAUAACAUCUCCAUGGAAUCAAAGCGGUAUGAAAAAAGGAAGAUAAAAGUGAGAUGAAAGGGUGAAUUCGUACCUUGUGUUCGGCAGCAAAUGAG